AAGGGUUUUUAAACCCAAAAGCUUACUUAAAUAUUGUGCACAUUAAAAUCACUACCAAAGACAUCCUUCUAAAGUCAAAGUAUUCUGAAUGAGAAGAGUGUACAACAGUAAAACAAAGCAUCUAUUUUAAGUGGGCUUCUCCAUAUACAUAUCUUUUGAGAGUGCUUCAAUUAUAAUAAAUUUAUUUAAAAACUAUUCAGAUAUUUCUGAAAAAGUAUACAUCUCUCAUUCUUCUAGCAUUUUAAUCAUCCUCAUCAUCAUCCUCUUCUUCUUCCAUCUCUUCCAUUUCCUCAGCUGCAGCCAAAGCUUCUUCUUGUGCAGCCCGGAGUGCCUGCUCCUCUUCUACAGUAGGGUCACUCAUCUCAGUGAUUUCUGGACCACUAGGGUAUUCUGCCUGCACUGGUGGAGGUAGUGGGGGGCUGUAGUUAUCUGGACUAUAUUUAUGACCCCAGCCC